UUCACCAGUUUCUCUGCAUAAAUACCGAGAGAAACCGAACUGCGUUCUUCGUGUUCUUCGUAAUCAAACGAAGAUUUCAAGGCGUUAUUGGAAUCCGAUGGAGGCGUAUGAAUAGUCAAAACGAAGCUAUCGACGCGUAGAAUCUAGUUUAAUCAUCCGUUUGUGUGCAGAUUCAACAGUUAAGAAUGGAUUCCAGUAAUCAGUGAAAUGGAAAUUAUUAUAGGAAGCAAAGUCAUGGGUAUACAGUGUCAAAGAGUCAGGCUCUUAAAAUAUGUAUGGUUCUGGUGCUGGUUAUGGGGCACCUACAUCUAGGUCACACACUCAGUAUUUUAGUGGAGCUCCAAUGGCCUAUUCUCAAAUAAAGAUUGAUUAGUUGAGGGACAUGUGGAUCAAAUUUGUGGAGGAGUAUAACUUAGCGGAUGAGAAGAGCAAGUCAAGUCUAUUCAUUUUGGACGCCUUACUUGAGAGUGUUGAUGGAGAGACGCGACCGACCUCCGUCCACCCACGUCGUGUAAUCUAUGGAGGAGGGCGCGCCCUCUUCGGAGGUGACCGAGGGGCGCGUCCCUUGUAAGAAGUUGACCAUGAGAUGAAGACCAAGGGCGUGCCUUUAACGGGGUGUCCUCGCCUCCCCAGGGGCGCGACCUCAUGUUAAAGAACGACCUGUCUGAUGUGUUGUUGGAGUGGUCGAUGGGACGAGACGGCGAAGGCAAGGGCGCGCCCUCAGGGGUCGCUCCCACAUGUAAACACAUAUUGUAAGAAGGCUCUUCCUAUGGGAGAGCGUACAUUCGCUGAGACAACCCUUCCGAGGGAGACGAAGACCGCCCCUCCGGGGAUAGGAAGACCUACCCCUCCGGGGGAUAUGACGACCCCUCCGGGGGAUACGACGACUCUUCCGAGGUGUUGUAGCCGUUUUUGUACACCAUGUAGAGGGGAGGACGCGCCCUCCUCCGGACAUAACCCGGGGAGUGCGGUCUCUUGUCCAGUAAACAGGGAUGGAGACGGGAAUUGGGAAGGACACGUCCUCCCUAUCAGGGCGCGUCCUUUGACUCAGAAGAGGCAUAAUUAUGAAAUACAUGAUGAGAGAGAGAGGAUGAGUGAGUCUCCGUGACGACCCUUCCGAGGGAUAUGAAGACUAGUUACCAAGCUCAUUUGGUAGUUACCAAGCUCAUUUGGUAGUUAUCAGGCUCAUCUGAUAGUUCCCGGGCUCAUCCGGGCAUGAUCUACAAUCCUCAAUCCUGCUAUCUGCCGAGUUAACCCUCGUGUGGGGGCUUGAGGUGAUCAUGGCUCUUGAAGGCCCUCCGGGGUAACACGAAGGCCGAUCAUAUGUCUGGAUCCUGUAUUCUGGUGAGUUAGCCCUCAUCGGGGGAUUGAGACGAUCGUGUAAUUUGGCUCCUUGUCUACCUUGUUUGAAGAUGAAGACCUCACCGAGAGGUGAGGACGUGUCCCUGCACCUCGAGGGGUUAGUCAUGGCUCCCCCAGAUAACUUCUCCAUAAGAGUCGUGGUAGAUGCUAUCUCUCGUAGUGGAGAUAUCGUUGAAUCCGUGAUCUAUUUGGAUUAGGAGUCUGAGGUAGUCAUACUCAAGACUAAUUCUAACAGGAGUAGGAUUCUCCAAGAUGGGCCUUCGGCCUAUCUCCGACCUUAUCGCCAAGAGGCCUAGUCCUGAUCAAACUAGGACUCCUGGUUCAAUAGAACUACGUAUGGCUUGAUCCCCUAUAAAUAUAGGGGUACGUAGGCACAUUGGGGGAUCAUGAGUUGAGAGCACGUGAGACCAACUCAAAACCCUAAUCUCAGCCACCCCCUAAAACAAACAA